rnacentral:rRNA from 1 species
CACGUAGGGCGCAAGCGUUGUCCGGAAUUAUUGGGCGUAAAGGGCUCGUAGGCGGUCUGUUACGUCUGCUGUGAAAACCCUGGGCUUAACCCUGGGCUUGCAGUGGAUACGGGCAGACUAGAGGCAGGUAGGGGAGAAUGGAAUUCCCGGUGUAGCGGUGAAAUGCGCAGAUAUCGGGAGGAACACCGGUGGCGAAGGCGGUUCUCUGGGCCUGACCUGACGCUGAGGAGCGAAAGCGUGGGGAGCGAACAGG